rnacentral:rRNA from 1 species
UACGAAGGGGGCGAGCGUUGUUCGGAGUUACUGGGCGUAAAGGGCGCGUAGGCGGCGAUCCAAGUUAGGCGUGAAAGCCCCGGGCUUAACCUGGGAAUUGCGCUUAAGACUGGACUGCUUGAGUGCGGGAGAGGUGAGUGGAAUUCCAAGUGUAGCGGUGAAAUGCGUAGAUAUUGGGAGGAACACCGGUGGCGAAGGCGGCCCCCUGGACCGGUACUGACGCUGAGGCGCGAAAGCGUGGGUAGCAAACGGG